AAAUAAGUCAAAACUUUCAACAACGGAUCUCUUGGUUCUGGCAUCGAUGAAGAACGCAGCGAAAUGCGAUAAGUAAUGUGAAUUGCAGAAUUCAGUGAAUCAUCGAAUCUUUGAACGCACAUUGCGCCCGCCAGCAUUCUGGCGGGCAUGCCUGUUCGAGCGUCAUUUCAACCCUUAAGCACAGCUUAGUGUUGGGA
rnacentral:rRNA from 1 species